GAUGAACGCUAGCGGCAGGCUUAAUACAUGCAAGUCGAGGGGUAGCAAGAUUGUAGCAAUACAAUUGUUGACGACCGGCAAACGGGUGCGGAACACGUACACAACCUUCCUACAAGUGGGGAAUAGCCCAGAGAAAUUUGGAUUAAUACCCCGUAACAUAGCGAUGUGGCAUCACAUUGCUAUUAUAGCUUCGGCGCUUGUUGAUGGGUGUGCGGCUGAUUAGAUAGUUGGCGGGGUAACGGCCCACCAAGUCUACGAUCAGUAGCUGAUGUGAGAGCAUGAUCAGCCACACGGGCACUGAGACACGGGCCCGACUCCUACGGGAGGCAACAGUAAGGAAUAUUGGACAAUGGACGCAAGUCUGAUCCAGCCAUGCCGCGUGAAGGAUUAAGGUCCUCUGGAUUGUAAACUUCUUUUAUAAGGGACGAAAAAAGGUCUUUCUAGAUCGUCUGACGGUACCUUAUGAAUAAGCACCGGCUAACUCCGUGCCAGCCGCCGCAGUAAUAC
rnacentral:rRNA from 1 species